UACGGAGGGACCAAGCGUUGUUCGGAUUUACUGGGCGUAAAGGGCGCGUAGGCGGCAAUUCAAGUCAUCUGUGAAAUCUCCGGGCUUAACUCGGAACGGUCAGAUGAUACUGCUUUGCUAGAGUGCGGAAGGGGCAAUCGGAAUUCUUGGUGUAGCGGUGAAAUGCGUAGAUAUCAGGAGGAACACCAAUGGCGAAGGCAGCACUCUGGGACGGUACUGACGCUGAGACGCGAAAGCGUGGGGAGCAAACAGG
rnacentral:rRNA from 1 species